rnacentral:sRNA from 1 species
UGAGCUCAUCUGUCUCAGCCCCAUUUAUUUCUCCUGGGUGAUGAGAAGACCUGUGCUUCUCCGUUAAAAGGCACUAGGAAAGAAGGAGUUAAAGUGAAGGCAGGCUCGCUGGUUUGCUGAGAUCUGUCAGAGGCUGACUGGCUGGCUACAUAUCUGUCUCUGGAACAAUAGGUACCUGUAUUCUGCAUGGGCUGCUGGGCAGGCAGUACUAACACUCUGGAGAAGGUCUGCCUCUGUCUGAGCCUUCCUGGUGAGAUUCCCCAGUAACAGUCCUACUUUUCAGAGGAGAGAGAGAGAGAGAGAGAGAGAGAGAGAGAGAGAGAGAGAGAGAGAGAGAGAGAGUUUGAGGCUGUCUACUCUGUUGAUAGAGGACAAAGCUUUGAUCAUUUUUGUUCAGGCUUCACUUGGUGAGAGGUUUUAGGUUCUUAGUCUCAAGUCAGUAGUUGUGCUGCCUUCCCCCCCCCUCCCCUUUCUUUCAUAUUCUCUUUCUGCCGCCCUCCCUCUCUCAUUUCUCCUCAUAGGUUCAAUGCAGGCAGAUGAGUGCCACAGCUGUAACUGAGGCGUAGAAUAAUCAACACAUCGGAGCCAAUCCCCCUGACACCAAGAGGGGAAUCCGGCAGAGGUGACCGACCGCGAGGACAAGACCGUUCUUCUGACAAGUUUUAGGUAAGGGAACAUUUAUAUACAAUUCUUGCAUUUCUGAAUCUCGGUGACUGAGAGAGACACUUGUGAUAAAAAGAAAGGGAAGUCGUUGUAGGUAAAUAUUUUUGAGAGGGCAUCCUUCUUGUUGUCCGUUGCUUGCAGAACCUGUCAGUGUUUAUGCGGGGGCUUUGUGUUACUAGAAUCUUCAGAGGUGAGGUGUGAGCAGGACUGGAGGAAGGGUGAGCUGCUUUUUAUGUCUGUAUGGUGACAUUUACCAUGCUGUUUAAAUCUGUAUCUGUUAAAAAAAAAAAAGAAAGAAAGAAAAUAGAAUUUCUGUUUGACGAUAGUAACGUUUUGUGCAAGGCAGAGCAUAUGGCUGUGCAGAAUUCAAGUGGCGUUCUUUUAUUUUUAAUUUGUAAUUAUUUUUACAUUCAACUGUACUGAGGUCAGAGAGUUUUAAAAAUUAAUGAGAUUCCCUGUGGAGUUCAAAUAGUAAUAUCUACGUGAGCCUCCACAAAGAGAUAAGAUUAGGCCAGUAUAUAUGUAUUUUUUUCUUUCUUUCUUUCUUUUUUUUUUUUUUUUUUUGGCCAUGAUUUGGCUGUCUUACUUUGAAUACACGCCAUCUGAAGCAUAUGUAGGGUUCAAUAGUUUCUGGGAGUUGGUGUGAUUUGGAAGACUAGCCCUUAAUUUAUUGUUUAGUGACCAAGAGGCAUGGAGCCCCAGUUAGACUGCUGAGGAUGAACACUGUUAGGUGGGGACAUUCCUAAAACUUCACAGACUUUAUUGUCAUGACAAUGGAGCGAGUCUUAGACUUUCGAGGAAAGAGCAAAUGAUAAAUGAGGCAACGUGCUAAGAAGAAGAAGAAAAAGAAAAUCUGCGAAUGUGGCUUUAUUUUAAGUACUGUGUGAAAAUUCUAGGUAAAGACAGUUAUUUAGGAUCAAAGCUUGCUGGUCUGAACAAAGAGGCAAAGAUCCGCACAGGUGAAAAUUCUUUGCCACAAAAUGAAUCUAGAGCAUAGAUUAAGGGCAGGAAGUGAUUUGGUGAUUCACUAUUUUAUUUUAUUAUUAUUUUUUUAACCUUUAUUCUUGCCCCAUAAAGGUAGUUCACUGGGUUGAGUCCAGGCAUUUACAACUUUGAUUUCCCACAAUUUAAAAGCAUUGUUUGUGUGUCCGUGGUCUAAGACGCUGUUUAUAGGAGAGGCACUGAGAAGUAGUCUGAACAGAGGGUAAUCUGGGCUUCCAUUUACAAGAUCCAUUCAGGUCUUCCUGUGAUAUAUUGUUAUGUAAAUACUUUUCGGCCAGGGAGAGCUGGGCUAUGGAGAUUCAAUUUACUUUGAAAGUUGUUCAUUAUAGCAAGGAUGAAUGUUAUUUAUUUGAUGCGAUUCAAAGACUGGAAAUGACUUUUUCAUUGUGGUACUUUUUGUGAUGGGUCCAGGGUGAUCUAAUCUUUUUAAUUUUGGCUUUCACACCAGUGGAGAUGAAAAGAGAUCUGAACUCAUUUAUCGGUUGCUAGGUCUUUCUGGAAGCCCAAGUUCUGUUUGUGGUUGCUAUGGUCAGGCUGACCUCAAUCUCUGUGGUUUGAGGGACUUAAGCAGUCAUUUUUUUUCUUUUCUUUUCUUUUCUUUUUUUUUUUUAAUUGAGGAGCAUGUACCUUGAUUUAUGUCCAAAACUGUAGCUGAAUGUCUUUGUCUGCGGGUGAUAUAUGGUGCAGAACAAUUCAUCUGUUCUUACGAGUAAACACCGCUGUCCCACUAAAAAUAUGUUUUGUUCGGAGUUAAUGGUAUGGAACAAGGCAUUCUCCACAAAUAGCUAUCUUUUAUUGUGUUGGGGCCGCGGAAACGCUGAGCAAAGUGCAGGAAAUUGGCAUCAGUCCUCGCGUCUAUUAGCAUUUCAUUUGUGAGUCGCAUGAUAAGACCGGUAGGUGGACAGAGGGAGCCAGGAAGGGUUGUUUCGACAUCUUCACUUUCUCAACUGGGACCGCCUAGCCUGACCCGCAUUCGCCAGGACCCAGUAAGUCAGCGUUAGUUCCCCCUGACCCGGUGAGCAUCGUUUCGCCCAAGCGCUAAAGCACACCCAGGCGGACGUGCUGAGGCUCAGCGCUGGGGACCGGUAUUCUUAGGCUCCUUGAGGGAAAGUUGCUGGGUCCGAUCUCGGCACCACCCAGGACUGUAAUGUCUAUGCGCUACUGAAUGGUCCCCGGUCGCCUGCUUUCUAGACUCUUGUUAGAAAGGAGCCCGGGUGAAUCAGAGGCUAUGGAGAACGCAGCCCAAUUCAGCAGAUGAGCCGGAAUACAGUCCUGCUCCCUUAAAAACUGCUAAUUGAUGGAUGCUGCGGGGGAACAGACACCGCGAACGAGGGCAAAAUAGGAAUCAGGAGAGGCACGUAUUGCCGAUAGCACCACCGAUUUCCUUCUCAAAGCAGCUUGAGCUCAUCUGUCUCAGCCCCAUUUAUUUCUCCUGGGUGAUGAGAAGACCUGUGCUUCUCCGUUAAAAGGCACUAGGAAAGAAGGAGUUAAAGUGAAGGCAGGCUCGCUGGUUUGCUGAGAUCUGUCAGAGGCUGACUGGCUGGCUACAUAUCUGUCUCUGGAACAAUAGGUACCUGUAUUCUGCAUGGGCUGCUGGGCAGGCAGUACUAACACUCUGGAGAAGGUCUGCCUCUGUCUGAGCCUUCCUGGUGAGAUUCCCCAGUAACAGUCCUACUUUUCAGAGGAGAGAGAGAGAGAGAGAGAGAGAGAGAGAGAGAGAGAGAGAGAGAGAGAGAGAGAGUUUGAGGCUGUCUACUCUGUUGAUAGAGGACAAAGCUUUGAUCAUUUUUGUUCAGGCUUCACUUGGUGAGAGGUUUUAGGUUCUUAGUCUCAAGUCAGUAGUUGUGCUGCCUUCCCCCCCCCUCCCCUUUCUUUCAUAUUCUCUUUCUGCCGCCCUCCCUCUCUCAUUUCUCCUCAUAGGUUCAAUGCAGGCAGAUGAGUGCCACAGCUGUAACUGAGGCGUAGAAUAAUCAACACAUCGGAGCCAAUCCCCCUGACACCAAGAGGGGAAUCCGGCAGAGGUGACCGACCGCGAGGACAAGACCGUUCUUCUGACAAGUUUUAGGUAAGGGAACAUUUAUAUACAAUUCUUGCAUUUCUGAAUCUCGGUGACUGAGAGAGACACUUGUGAUAAAAAGAAAGGGAAGUCGUUGUAGGUAAAUAUUUUUGAGAGGGCAUCCUUCUUGUUGUCCGUUGCUUGCAGAACCUGUCAGUGUUUAUGCGGGGGCUUUGUGUUACUAGAAUCUUCAGAGGUGAGGUGUGAGCAGGACUGGAGGAAGGGUGAGCUGCUUUUUAUGUCUGUAUGGUGACAUUUACCAUGCUGUUUAAAUCUGUAUCUGUUAAAAAAAAAAAAGAAAGAAAGAAAAUAGAAUUUCUGUUUGACGAUAGUAACGUUUUGUGCAAGGCAGAGCAUAUGGCUGUGCAGAAUUCAAGUGGCGUUCUUUUAUUUUUAAUUUGUAAUUAUUUUUACAUUCAACUGUACUGAGGUCAGAGAGUUUUAAAAAUUAAUGAGAUUCCCUGUGGAGUUCAAAUAGUAAUAUCUACGUGAGCCUCCACAAAGAGAUAAGAUUAGGCCAGUAUAUAUGUAUUUUUUUCUUUCUUUCUUUCUUUUUUUUUUUUUUUUUUUGGCCAUGAUUUGGCUGUCUUACUUUGAAUACACGCCAUCUGAAGCAUAUGUAGGGUUCAAUAGUUUCUGGGAGUUGGUGUGAUUUGGAAGACUAGCCCUUAAUUUAUUGUUUAGUGACCAAGAGGCAUGGAGCCCCAGUUAGACUGCUGAGGAUGAACACUGUUAGGUGGGGACAUUCCUAAAACUUCACAGACUUUAUUGUCAUGACAAUGGAGCGAGUCUUAGACUUUCGAGGAAAGAGCAAAUGAUAAAUGAGGCAACGUGCUAAGAAGAAGAAGAAAAAGAAAAUCUGCGAAUGUGGCUUUAUUUUAAGUACUGUGUGAAAAUUCUAGGUAAAGACAGUUAUUUAGGAUCAAAGCUUGCUGGUCUGAACAAAGAGGCAAAGAUCCGCACAGGUGAAAAUUCUUUGCCACAAAAUGAAUCUAGAGCAUAGAUUAAGGGCAGGAAGUGAUUUGGUGAUUCACUAUUUUAUUUUAUUAUUAUUUUUUUAACCUUUAUUCUUGCCCCAUAAAGGUAGUUCACUGGGUUGAGUCCAGGCAUUUACAACUUUGAUUUCCCACAAUUUAAAAGCAUUGUUUGUGUGUCCGUGGUCUAAGACGCUGUUUAUAGGAGAGGCACUGAGAAGUAGUCUGAACAGAGGGUAAUCUGGGCUUCCAUUUACAAGAUCCAUUCAGGUCUUCCUGUGAUAUAUUGUUAUGUAAAUACUUUUCGGCCAGGGAGAGCUGGGCUAUGGAGAUUCAAUUUACUUUGAAAGUUGUUCAUUAUAGCAAGGAUGAAUGUUAUUUAUUUGAUGCGAUUCAAAGACUGGAAAUGACUUUUUCAUUGUGGUACUUUUUGUGAUGGGUCCAGGGUGAUCUAAUCUUUUUAAUUUUGGCUUUCACACCAGUGGAGAUGAAAAGAGAUCUGAACUCAUUUAUCGGUUGCUAGGUCUUUCUGGAAGCCCAAGUUCUGUUUGUGGUUGCUAUGGUCAGGCUGACCUCAAUCUCUGUGGUUUGAGGGACUUAAGCAGUCAUUUUUUUUCUUUUCUUUUCUUUUCUUUUUUUUUUUUAAUUGAGGAGCAUGUACCUUGAUUUAUGUCCAAAACUGUAGCUGAAUGUCUUUGUCUGCGGGUGAUAUAUGGUGCAGAACAAUUCAUCUGUUCUUACGAGUAAACACCGCUGUCCCACUAAAAAUAUGUUUUGUUCGGAGUUAAUGGUAUGGAACAAGGCAUUCUCCACAAAUAGCUAUCUUUUAUUGUGUUGGGGCCGCGGAAACGCUGAGCAAAGUGCAGGAAAUUGGCAUCAGUCCUCGCGUCUAUUAGCAUUUCAUUUGUGAGUCGCAUGAUAAGACCGGUAGGUGGACAGAGGGAGCCAGGAAGGGUUGUUUCGACAUCUUCACUUUCUCAACUGGGACCGCCUAGCCUGACCCGCAUUCGCCAGGACCCAGUAAGUCAGCGUUAGUUCCCCCUGACCCGGUGAGCAUCGUUUCGCCCAAGCGCUAAAGCACACCCAGGCGGACGUGCUGAGGCUCAGCGCUGGGGACCGGUAUUCUUAGGCUCCUUGAGGGAAAGUUGCUGGGUCCGAUCUCGGCACCACCCAGGACUGUAAUGUCUAUGCGCUACUGAAUGGUCCCCGGUCGCCUGCUUUCUAGACUCUUGUUAGAAAGGAGCCCGGGUGAAUCAGAGGCUAUGGAGAACGCAGCCCAAUUCAGCAGAUGAGCCGGAAUACAGUCCUGCUCCCUUAAAAACUGCUAAUUGAUGGAUGCUGCGGGGGAACAGACACCGCGAACGAGGGCAAAAUAGGAAUCAGGAGAGGCACGUAUUGCCGAUAGCACCACCGAUUUCCUUCUCAAAGCAGCUUGAUACUCAUGCUAAUGGUGUCACGGAAGAAGCGAUGUAUCGACAGCUCAGGAUGGCUGCAGGGGACAUAUUCAGACGUGGCCCAGAUUGUCUGCCCAUGGGGACUGAGAUACCUCUGAGAUUUAUAUCAGAUCUCCACAGUCUUUGUCGCUGUAUUUUGUUAGAAAGAAAGGCGAGGCUGUUUCUACAGGUGCCACAGAAAAAUCGAUGCCGAGUCACGGAUUAUUGGAUCCCACAGAACCAUGGAGACUUGGCGGUGAAAUUCUUCUAAAGUUUCUUCUGGCUAUCAGAGAGUUGAAAGGGGAAAAAAAAAUAAAGAGCCAAAGCUGUUUCAACUUCUUGGUUGUUUUACUCCAUGGCUUAGCAUUCCAUCUGCGCAGGCAGAGGUGUUCCUGGUUUGGGAAGUAUAAAUCCCGCGGGAAGUCAACUGGAGAACAUUUUACGCGUCCGUCACUCAUCCUAUUAUGAGCCUGCUGCUCUUCCUUCUCUGGACAAGCCUAAACUUUAAGAUUUGCUGAACAAACCUUGUGUCAAAUUUGGACCACCUAGACAGUAUUCCACCCUGAUUGUAUCCCAUGUCACUAUUCUGUGCAAGGCCACCGACUAGAAGAGCACAGAAUUAUUAAAAAGAAAACAAAAAAAAAAACCAAAAAAAACACAGCUGAAAGUGAACGUCUUUGGAUUUCCCAUUUAAUGAGUUGGCAGCUAAAGGACAGGAGCAGCAAUAAGGCUGCCUGGCUACAUUUUCAUAGUGCCACCAACUGCGAGUUAAGCUGACAAACAUUUUGAGAGCUCGGCCCAUUUCAUUCACAGCAGGAUGGCAGGAGUUAACUAACACUGUAAAAAAAACCUAACUAAAAAUCGUGCCUUUACUGCACAUUUGCACAGAAUCUCAGGACUGAAAGUGUCGAAGUUCUGCUCGACAAGCGGGUGACUGAUUGUCCCUGCCAGCUGGCUAAUAUCAUAAUUAGCAAAGUUGCUACCACAUCUGCAAAGUUUAAUCGAAAAAUUUACCAGUGGUAUGAUGGCAUUGUCACCAUGAUCCCAAGGGAAUCGGAGUCGACUUCUGCUUCAGGAGGAACGGCAAGGCUGUAUAGCUGAGAUGAGAAAUUGUAAACUUGCUCAGCCAAAGGUUAUGCUUCGCAUCACCCACCAGGGAGGAUCAUCUCUCAUGAAAACUUUCAAAUUUGAUUUUGAAAAUUUAUUCAGAAAAAUUUAAGCCACGCUCUUUUUCAACACAGAAAAUAAUAUGCUCCAGAGAAUCCUCUAAUUCACAGAAAAUGGACUCGGAUAACAUUUGGGUUCUCAUACUACCACAGUUCUCUUGAGAAGGACAGCCAGGAGGCUAAUAAUGAAGGGGCCAGGGAAGGAGGCCAAUGCUACAAGGGUUAUCUCUCAACCUCAGAUGUUGGAUAAGUCAGGGAACAGCGUCGUUUCUGGAUGGCUUCAGACAGGCCGGACUGACUGUUUGGAAGAGAAAAACCUGCUUAUUCUUUCAAAGGUACAUGAAUGUUGUCCACACCUUCCCGUCUAAAGGUUAGAAUCUUGCCUUAGACAAAGGAUGCUCUUGGAGUCCCACCACACCUAAAACCACGCUUUGAAGGAUCUGCCAAGCUCACUUUUAAUCAUGAGAAAGAAAUUACCCACAUGGAGACAGCAGAAAAUGAGAAAGGAGAGAUCGUGCUGCGAAUAAUUCCAGCGAGUGCCAAGGGGCUAGUUGAGGAAUGGCUUCAUGAGGUGAAUAUCUUAGCUUGUACUUAGAAUUUGGUUAGCGUAUAAUCAGUUUCUCUUUUAGGAGCGAAUACAAUCCUAAGUGUAUUUCCCAUCUGAGCACCGCUCAGGGCAUUUAUCAGGAUGUUGACAUAUUUAAUAUCGGCCUCGUCCUCGCCGUUAUUUAUGAUGACUAAUUUUACACUUAUAAAUAUGCAGAAAUCGAUGUAGGUGGAAAGGCUCUCUGAGCCCCAUGUCUGUCGCUAGCCGUCUGUCUUCAUGUGCAGCGCUCUGCUAGUGUGGCCUGUCCAGUAAUGUGUGUCUCUGUGUAUGUGCGUGCUCUUGUUGUCUCCUCUCCGCUGUGAAUGUGCAUUGGGAGAAUUAGCCUUAUGACAGGAUAUCAAAAGAUGGGCCCAAGACUUUCAUUUUUGGAAUGGAAAGAAAAAAUAAUGCGUAACACUUUGUAUCACAUCAGUUUCAAUUCUUCCUGAGAGGGAGGGGGCCAAUCAGGUAUGAGUCAUCACAGGGCAAAGCAACCAGGAUUCAAAUUGAACAUCACCUUCAGUGUCAAAUUAGUUGAAAGUCCCCCUUUUCCUUUACGGUGACUGGCUGAAACCCCUGCCAUUAUGUCUGUUUGUUUUAAAAGGGUGGGGGGAGCUGCCUGAGUUCAUCCACAGUGCCAUGUAGCUUUUCUUUGUUUCAUUUUUCUAAGGAUCAGAUCCAAGAAAAAUAAUAGGUUAGUAAUUCAAGACCAUCACUACUUACACGGUUCUCUCCCGGGCAUGUCAUUUCUUUGGGUGCCAAGUUUCAUCAAGAUCACUAAGUAAACAAAUGAGCGAUAACUUUUUUGCUCCUUUUUUCUUUUAAUUUGACUAGGGAGUAAGAACUGGGAAAGUCAAGUGUCUUUAUGAGUCACAGAGGAAGAAUGCAGGAACCCCCACCCCCACCCCCCAACUUCUGGUCUCAGACUUUGAUUUCCCACACAACCAAGUCACGGGAUCGCCAUGCCAACCUUAAGCAAUUUUGGCUCCCAGCAAUCCUGUGCUGGGGAAUCUUUCAAACUACCCUUCAAUCCGGGUCCAAAGGGCCACAGCACAGACUAGUAGAAAGAGUGCAUUAUCUGAGAAAGCACCAGGCUGCUUUCCCAUUGGUAUAUGUGUUUGGUGCCACGGUUAAGCACCGCUGGGGUCUAAUACGUGGAUGACCCCCUUUAUAGAGUGUGGGGGCUUCUGAGGAAAAGGCAAGCAUUGACUAAGAAAAAGAGUCAUUCUUCCAUGUGUUUUCAUAAAAGGACAAGGCAGGCCUCUUUGAGAGCUUCUGAAAGAGAAGAGGCAUGGGAGGAGAUGAGCCAGCUGGGGGUGGGUUGUUUUGGGGAGGGGAGCCAGCUGGGGAAUGGAGAGAGAGAGAGAGAGGCUGGGGAGAUAGCCAGCUGGGAGAAGAGGUAGGAUAAAGCCAAGGCACAAAGGUACAGGCAGAUGAGCAGCUGUGUUUAUUUGAAUACAUAUCAUUUAACCCUCACCUAAAAACAAAUUGGAGAGGUUUGGGAGUGCAUUAAUCUGGACCCAAUUAGCAUGUCUUUCCCCUUCAAAAGGUGCAACCUGAGAUUAAUGAAUAUCAACCAGAGUUUCAGAAGCAGCACUUAAAUCAUUUGCAUGUUUGUGCAUGAUAAUUGGAUUUAUGUAUGCACUUCCUUUCAUUUAACUAUUUCCAGUCUCCUUAUGAGUGAGUCAUACAACCCAAAACUUCAUUCGAGUGAUUUCUAGGUAGAAAUAGCUUACCUAGCAUUCUACCCCUAAGGGGGGAAAAACUCAAGUGGUUGUACAUUUUGAAUUUGAAUACCACAUUUCUUUCUUUUAUUAUUAUUUUUUUUAACAUAGAGGGCAGUUGAUAAUAGUGUGGAAUGCUGCUGCUUCUGGAGUUGGUAAAUAGGCACCACAGAUUUAUCUUUAAAAGGCUAGGAAAAUAAGGAAAUUUCCAACAUCAAGCUUUCAUGGCUUCCGUGUGGCCACUAGUAAGAGAUUUUAUAAUGCUAGGAACGAGGCCACUUGAAUGCCGCAUGGGGAAUGUUCUUGGUGUCUGGACCUGUGGCAAUUAGAUCACAGAGACAUCAGCAUCCAGGAUGGUUUAUGGCAUAGUUAGAAAUGUGUUUCUAUAGAAAGAGAUGGGAAUGCGGUCAACAUCUGUGAACUGCUGUGGACAGGCAAGGAGCAUUGUGAACCCUUGAUGCUGUGGGUUUGGUCCUUCUCAUUUCCUCCCUCCCUCCCUUCCUUCCUUCCUCCCUCCCUCUCUCCC